UUGACCGAACUUAGCAAAUGGGUUUUCCAUGAAUGUGGUCAUCUUAAGGCUGUUAAUGUAAAACACCACAAAGUUGGAGAAACAGAUGAACCUGCUUUGUACAGGAUUAAUGAUGACUCGGUGUAGUCUGUUGAGAUUUAUGAGUGGUCUG